rnacentral:lncRNA from 1 species
UCUCUCUCUCUCUCUCUCUCUCUCUCUCUCUCUCUCUCUCUCAGAAGGAUUCGGAAACAAGAUUUUCAAUUAUGCGACUUAUCAAGCAACUGUCUCAGUUCAUGUGGGAUCCACUCAUCCUCCUGCAUCAAAGACAUUUCUUUACUGCAAUAGAGCCCUGCCCUGCAAGGUAACCACUAAACUCAAUCAUAUGACGGUCAAACUUGGAAGCCUUCAUUUUACAAAUCAAGUCAACCAAAUUGACUGUUCAACCAUAUAAACCAUAAAACCCAUUAACCAAGAUCAAAGAACAGUUAACUUGAACUAAGCUAGUCAAGGUGACACCACAUCACUUGCUAGAUAGAUGGAGGAAACUUCCAAGUCCAUACACUACUACUUGCAACCAAAAAAGUCAGACUUGGCCUCUUCCGCCUUCAUUUCCAGUCCACCACGAUUCUUAGUGGCCAAGUUUCCAGAUCUAUAUGGAUAUUAUAAAUCUCAAGAACUAAAGACACCGUUGCGAAUUCAAAAUGCACCUUCCUUUUUUUCUCCACUGAUUUCUUCAUCACUUCUCACUAGCUAGUUUCAACGAUGGAGUCAAAGCAGCUCCAUGCAGUCUUCUUCCCAUUCAUGGCUCAGGGCCACAUGAUCCCACUCGUUGACAUGGCACGCCUAUUCGCCCGCCGUGGCGCCAAAUCCACCAUCGUCACUACUCCACUCAACGCCCCGCUCUUUUCUGACAAGAUCAAACGAGAGACACAACAAGGUCUCCAAAUCCAAACCCAUGUCAUCGAUUUCCCUUUCCUCGAGGCCGGAUUACCAGAAGGCUGCGAGAACGUCACCUCACUCAAGUCCCCUGCCAUGAUCUUCCAAUUCUUCUUAUCCAUGCACGUUUUUAAGCAACCGAUUGAGGAGCUCCUCAAACUAUGGAAACCGGACUGCAUCGUUGCGGACGUGGUCUUCCACUGGGCGACCGAAUCAGCCCACAGACUCGGCAUCCCGAGGCUGUUCUUCAACGGGACAGGCUCCUUCUCAAUGUGUUUGAUCGAUUGUUUCAAACGCUACGACCCUUGCAAAGGUGUCGAAUCUGAUUCGGAGCCGGUCGUUUUGCCUGGUUUACCGCACAAGAUUGAAUUCAAGAAGUCGCAGCUUCCUCCUUUCUGGAAAGGUGAGAAGGUGGAUGACAAAAUAGAAGAACUCAGACAUCUGAUUGACAAAUCAGAGGAGGAGAGUUUCGGGGCUGUGGUGAAUAGCUUCCAUGAGCUCGAGCCUGGCUACUCAGAGCACUACAGGGAGGUGAUCGGAAGGAAGGCAUGGUUCGUCGGUCCAUUGUCGGUUUGUAACAAGGACACUACUCUGGACAAAGCAGAUAGAGGAGAUGCUGCAGCCAUUGAUGGACGUCAAUGUCUGAGAUGGCUAGACGGUAGAGUACCAAAUUCAGUUCUCUACAUUUGCUUUGGGAGCAUAUCCGGUCUUCCGGAUGCUCAGCUGUUGGAGAUUGCUGCAGCUCUCGAGGCAUCAGGGCAGAGCUUCAUUUGGGUGGUGAAGAAGGGAGCUAAAGGGAUCAGUACUGAAGAGGAAAAAGAAGAAUGGCUGCCGAAAGGGUUCGAGGAAAGGAUGGAAGGGAAAGGGUUGAUCAUUAGGGGAUGGGCGCCACAGGUGCUGAUACUUGAUCAUCUAGCAACAGGUGGGUUCAUGACUCACUGCGGAUGGAACUCCACGCUCGAAGGUGUGGCUGCAGGUGUUCCAAUGGUAACAUGGCCGCUACAGGCAGAGCAGUUCUUGAACGAGAAGCUGGUGACAGAUGUUCUGAGGGUCGGGGUUGGUGUUGGGUCACAGGAAUGGUCGAGGGGCGAGUGGAAAACCGUUGUGGGUAGGGAAGACAUAGAGAGAGCAGUGAGACAAGUAAUGGUUGGUGAACAUGCUGAAGAAAUGAGAGAGCGAGCAAUGGAGCUUAAGGAAAAGGCUGUAAAGGCUAAUGAAGAAGGUGGAUCGUCUUACACUGAUUUGAAAUCGUUGUUGGAGGAGCUUGCAUCUGUACGAGAGAAGAAGGAUGUUGAUUUCUCCAGCUUGAAACUGUAAUGCCCCUUGCAUGUUGCCGUCAUCUAUCAUUUCUCCUACAACAACAUGUGAUGCGAUUUGAGUAUUGAAAAGAAAUGUUCUCGAAGCAACUGAGAUUAUGGUAGUAGCUCAUGAAUUUCAUUAAGCUGUGAUUUCUGGUUUGUGCAAGAAUACUAGCUGCAUUGCUCGAAAAUGAACUAAAUUCAACACCUGGAAGUCUGGAAAUAAGAAGCAGAAAUGUAAAUUAUAUGACUGCAACUCAACUUAACUACGAAUAAGAGAACGAUGACAUGAUUGUUGUCUCUGCGAGUAGUAGCAGAUUGUCGAAGCUUGUUGAUCUUAUAUUCAAAGAAAUUGUACACAGAAGAAACAAUCAUGCCGGAAUUCUCUUCAGUUCUUCAAGACCAAGUGCAUUGGUCGAUUUUCACUAAUACGAGUAAUUUUCUAGAAAAUUAAGGACUAUAGACAGUAAAAUAUCGACUGCAUGGAUAAAGUGAUCCCUCUUUUUUAGAAAAAAGAAGAUAAAGUGAUCUCAGGAUUGAUCUAUUAUACCAUCGGUCAUCAGAUGAACAGUAACAGCAGAAGGAAGAAAAUCUAAGUAAUCAAACCUUGACGAAAUUUCCGAGGGAUUUGGUGGAUCGACGGGUAGACGUGUGAAAAAAAUCCCUAAUCCGAGCAAGUUGUUGAAUCUUUUCCCGUUUUUGGGCACUCUCGUUGGCCAUCAUUCUGGCUCCGCCGAGACAUUUUCCGGUGAUCUCUUUGGCGGCUAGCUCCGUAGGCCAUGUGUCAGUGUGGCAAUUUGCAGCUAUUUUUGGUCUCAUGUAUUUAUUGGGCUUACAAUAGAUAUGGAAGGUUAAUUGGGCUAGCCUUGAAAUUCAGAUUCCACAUGUGAAAACAUAUCCAAUGGGCUCAGAAUAUUGGGGCUUUGUUAUUUGUAUGCUAGCUAACCCAAAAUCAUAACUCUUGG